CGAAGGGAGCUAGCGUUGUUCGGAAUUACUGGGCGUAAAGGGCGCGUAGGCGGUUUUAUAAGUCAGAUGUGAAAGCCCCGGGCUUAACCUGGGAGGUGCAUUUGAAACUGUAAGGCUUGAGAUCGAGAGAGGAAAGUGGAAUUACGAGUGUAGAGGUGAGAUUCGUAGAUAUUCGUAAGAACACCAGUGGCGAAGGCGGCUUUCUGGCUCGAACCUGACGCUAAGGCGCGAAAGCGUGGGGAGCAAACAGGAUUAGAUACCCUGGUAGUCCACGCUGUAAACGACGAGUGCUAGAUGUUGGUGGAGGAAUUCAUCAGUGUCGCAGCUAACGCAUUAAGCACUCCGCCUGGGGAGUACGGUCGCAAGAUUA
rnacentral:rRNA from 1 species